CCGGUACCCUGAGGCUGUAGCGCUCUCCAAUAUUGAGGCAGAGACAGUCGCAGAGGCUCUAGUCAGGAUCUUUUCCCGGGUAGGGUUUCCUCGAGAAAUACUCUCAGAUCAGGGAACCCAGUUCACGGCAACUGUAACGCAACAGUUGUGGCAGAGCUGCGGAGUAAAGCCGUUAUUUAGCUCCCCUUACCACCCCCAGACUAACGGGCUCUGCGAACGCUUCAACGGCACGCUUAAGCAAAUGCUCACAACAUUCACAGAGUCCUAUGGUCAAUGGGAGAAGUUUUUACCCCAUCUCCUG